rnacentral:lncRNA from 1 species
CAUGAUCAACAUCAUACUCACCAUCAACAUGGUACCACCCAUCAAUUCAACCUCAAUCAUCCAUCAAGCAUAUAUCACAACAUGCAUUUCUCAUAUAUCACACAAUCAAGGCAUCAAUAUUCAUAAUCACAUAUAUGAACACAUCAUAUAUCUCAAUCAUUCAACAACACCAACAAUUCAAUGCCUAUCUUAGGGCCUCUAGCCUAAGUAUUUCCUACCACAUUACAUAUUAGAUACGGGAAACUAAAACCAUACCUUAGCCGAUUCCCCAAGCUCAACCGGAGCACUUCCAAACCACUUGUCCACAAGCUCUCAAGGUAUCAACACCUCCAAGAACAGAUUUUAUCACACAAAACCCUCUUCCAAGCUUUCCAAAAUCACCAAUCAAGCUCCAAUAUUCACAUAUACACAACCUAAGCCACAAUCA